ACUCCUGCGGGAGGCAGCAGUGGGGAAUUUUGGACAAUGGGCGAAAGCCUGAUCCAGCAAUGCCGCGUGAGUGAAGAAGGCCUUCGGGUUGUAAAGCUCUUUUGUCAGGGAAGAAACGGUGAGAGCUAAUAUCUCUUGCUAAUGACGGUACCUGAAGAAUAAGCACCGGCUAACUACGUGCCAGCAGCCGCGGUAAUACGUAGGGUGCAAGCGUUAAUCGGAAUUACUGGGCGUAAAGCGUGCGCAGGCGGUUUUGUAAGUCUGAUGUGAAAUCCCCGGGCUCAACCUGGGAAUUGCAUUGGAGACUGCAAGGCUAGAAUCUGGCAGAGGGGGGUAGAAUUCCACGUGUAGCAGUGAAAUGCGUAGAUAUGUGGAGGAACACCGAUGGCGAAGGCAGCCCCCUGGGUCAAGAUUGACGCUCAUGCACGAAAGCGUGGGGAGCAAACAGGAUUAGAUACCCCAGUAGUCCCAUGAU
rnacentral:rRNA from 1 species